rnacentral:miRNA from 1 species
UAGGAGCUAUCAGAACUUAGUGAUCAAGUGAGGUUUAGUUACUAAUUUCUGAUGCUCUUCCC